UACGUACCGGACAAACGUUAUUCGGAAUUACUGGGCUUAAAGAGUGCGUAGGCGGCUUAUCAAGUCAGGCGUGAAAUUCCCGGGCUCAACCUGGGGGCUGCGCUUGAUACUGAUUGGCUUGAAUGCGGGAGAGGAUAGUGGAAUUCCCAGUGUAGAGGUGAAAUGCGUAGAUAUCUGGAGGAAUACCGGUGGCGAAGGCGGCAUCCUGGACCGGCAUUGACGCUGAGGAGCGAAAGCCAGGGGAGCAAACGGG
rnacentral:rRNA from 1 species